AAUUACCCAUUCCCGUUAUUCUCACUUUAAUGUCCCUAAAACAACUAACAUAAGGGACCUAGUCUAAGAAUAUUUCAUCGGGGCGACAACACAUGCUUCGGGGGUACCUCAGCAAUAUAAGUCAAAUAAGGCAACCAUGAGGGGGAUGGAGUACAGCGAAUGAACACCCAAGUUCAUUAACACCUACAGGUGGCGAACCUGCUAAUGUUUCCACAAGACUGUCUAGAAUAGCCAGUGGUCGUCAUCUAAACUCCGCUAGAUGACUCAAUCAAACAACAACGAGGCCUCUCAUCUGUUUAUUACACACCAACUGUCUACCCAUGUUCUACCCAACAUAUUAGUAGAUAAAAAUAUACAUUUGUAUACAUAGUUUAAAGAAAACCUGUAUAGCAUGCUUUAAUCAACACAUAUAUCACAUAACAGAUGAGGCACACACACACAUAACACAUAUCUCAUAAAGAAAUAAGCAGAUCUAUAAGAUAGAAGAGAGUGAAUACUCAUUCACACAUAACACAACCAAAUAUAUACACAUAGCACGUAUUUUUAUAUAAAAUACUUCGUAUUAUUGUAUUAGAAGAAAUAACUACACACUCACUUGAUCAGAAGAUGAUCGGACAGCACUACGGCUUAUAGAAGUAGUAAUCCACAGCAGAUCUGGAAGAUCUUCUCAAAAAUCGAACUUCUCGCGGGCAGAGCUUCGGCUCGGGAACCGCACUUCUCGGGAUCUUCGGGAUCUCGGGACUUGCCUCGGGGCUCGGGAAUAUUACCGGGGCUUCGGGGGUUUACGCGCAGAGCUUCGGCACAAAAACGAGAGGAAAUUAGCAAAUGAACCCGGAACCCUCGCAUCCUAUUUAUAGGAGGCUGGAAGCCUCAAUUACGUGGGGCGUAAUGCUCCAAGUUCGUAAGCACAUGCGUCAUCCGAAGCCACUUGCUACGAUGUUGACACCUUCGGAGUACGCGGGGCGUACUCGAGUACGCAGGGCGUACCUCGGAUCAGACUGCUGACUCUUCUUCGGAUAAUGCAUCCGAAUUUCCAUUUAAAUAUAAAUACAAAAUAUUUAAUAAACUUCGGAAAUUCAUAUCUUCUUCAUACGAACUCCGUUUUCGACGUUCUUUAUAUCCACGAAAAGGUGAGACCACGCUCUACGACUUUCGUUUAGACUCCGUCGGCUAAUUUUGACUUUAUUUUUAUUAAUUAUUUUUUUAAUAGGCCGGGACAGAAACUUUCGUUAUAAAUUCAUAACUUCUUCGUUUGACGUCCGUUCUCGCCUAACUUUUUAUCGCUUCGAUACCAACAAUGAGAUCUUCGAUUCUCAUUUAGAUUGCUUCGGCUAAAAACCCCUCGAUCUCAAAUCGAGUAAAACAGGCUGCAUACCGCUAAGCCGAAACUUCGAUAAAUCAUAACUUCCUCAUACGAAGUCAGAUUUGGGCGUUCUAUAUAUAUUCGGAAACCUCGUUUCAACUACUACAACAUAGAUCAAAGAUAUUAAGUUUAUUUUACACUUAAAUUUUGACGCUUAUUUUUAUUCUUAAUUAAUCAAACCACAUAAUUAAGCAAUUAAGCACAAAACACAUAAUACUCAAAUAAUACAAUCUUAUUAUUUCAAAACGGGUUACAAAGGUUAACCUAGACUAUUACAUUGCUAAAAAUGGCAAGCCCGGAAACACAGGCGUUACAAUUCUCUCCACCUUAGAAUGAUUCCGUCCCCGGAAUCACACAUCAACAAACAAAUGCGGAUAGCGACUCAACAUGUCACUCUCCGUCUCCCAGGUGAGAUUCGGCCCAUUCGUGUGUUUCCAUCGGACAAGCACUAACCCAACCAUCUUGCGUCGCAAUUUCUUAGUCUUUCGGUCAACAAUUGCCUCUGGUUCUUCAAUCAACCUUUUGUUCUCAUCAAUUCUCAAUUCAGAAAUUGGAAUUAUAUCGGGAACUUCUCCCGUGAACUUCCUCAAAUAACACACAUGAAAAGUGUUGUGAAUUCCAUUCAGUUCUUCGGGUAAUUCGAGCUUGUAAGCUUGGUUCCCAAUCCUCUGAAGAACUUUAAACGGUCCAAUAAACCUUGGACUCAACUUUCCCCUUUUACCAAAUCUUAUAAGUCCCUUCCACGGCGAGACUUUAAGCAAAACCGAAUCUCCAACCUCAAAAGUCAUCGGUCUUCGCUUCUUGUCAGCAUAGCUCUUUUGACGAUCUUGAGCUGCUAACAUUCUUUCCCUAAUUAUUUUCAACUUUUCAGCAGUUUGAUGAACCAUCUCCGGUCCCAUAAACUGCUUUUCCCCAGCCUCAAGCCAACAAGACGGCGUACGACACUUCUGUCCAUACAAAGCUUGAUAAGGUGCCAUCUUAAUGCUCGAGUGAAAACUAUUAUUAUAGGAAAAUUCUACCAACGGUAAAUGUUCAUCCCAAUUACCUAGGAAUUCCAAGGUACAUGCUCUCAGCAUAUCUUCAAGUGUUUGUAUUGUUCUUUCACUCUGACCAUCAGUCUGCGGAUGGUAAGCUGUGCUUAAACAUAACUUGGUACCCAUUUCCUCUUGUAGACUUUUCCAAAACCUUGAGGUGAAACGGCUAUCACGAUCCGAUACAAUCGUUAACGGAACACCGUGAAGCCUCACAAUUUCCUUCACGUAAGAAUUCGCAAGCUUUUCCAUAGACCAUUUCUCCCUGGCCGCUAUGAAAUGCGCACUCUUAGUGAAUCGAUCAACGACCACCCAAAUCAUGUCGUGACCAUUCUUUGUUCUGGGCAGUUUAGUGACAAAAUCCAUAGCAAUGUCUUCCCACUUACCCAUAGGCACAGGCAAAGGUUCUAAACUCCCGUACGGUUUCUGAUGUUGUGUCUUGACUCUCGCACAAGUCACACACUCGGCCACAUACUUUGCAACAUCAAGCUUCAUCGUCGGCCACCAGUAGUAGGGUUUCAGGUCCCUAUACAUUUUAGUGCUACCCGGAUGAAUCGAGUACAUGGUCUUGUGAGCUUCUUCCAUCAGAAGAUCUCUAAUUCCUCCUGACUUAGGUACCCAAAUACGAUCUUGGAAUACCUUCAGUCCAUGACCGUUAGUACCAAACACCAACGUUUUACCCAAACGUUCCUCCUUUCGGUCAUUUUUCUCAGAAGCUUCCUCUUGAGCUUUCUUUAUACUUUCCACAAUGGUCGAGACAACUUCAAUUCUCAACGCUCUUGGCCUCUUCCUUUCAAGAUUGACCUUCCGACUGAGAGCAUCAGCAACAACAUUAGCUUUACCGGGGUGGUAAAGUAUCUCGCAGUCGUAGUCUUUAAGUAAUUCUAGCCAGCGUCGUUGCCUCAUAUUCAAUUCUUUCUGAUUAAAGAGGUAUUGGAGACUCUUAUGAUCAGUGAAAAGUUUGCACUUCGUGCCAUAGAGGUAAUGCCUCCAUAUUUUCAGAGCGAAAACUACCGCUGCCAACUCCAAAUCAUGAGUCGGGUAAUUCUUUUCAUGCUCUUUCAGCUGUCGAGACGCAUAUGCUAUCACCUUUUCUCUUUGGGUCAAAACACAACCCAAUCCAACACCAGACGCAUCGCUAUAAACAGCGAAGUCUUCAACUCCAUCGGGUAGAGAAAGUAUCGGUGCCUCGCAUAGCUUCUUCUUUAACUUCUCGAAUGCUUCUUUAUGCUUCUCACUCCAAGCAUAAGUAGCUCCUUUGUGGGUCAAAGCUGUUAAUGGAGUAGCAAUCGAAGAAAAGCCUUGGAUAAACCUUCGGUAAUAUCCGGCUAAUCCUAAAAAGCUUCGAAUCUCCGUGGGACUUUUCGGUUGUUCCCACUUCGUCACAGCUUCGAUCUUCGCUGGAUCAACCAUUAUCCCUUCUUGGUUGACCACGUGACCCAAGAAUUGGACUUCACGAAUCCAAAAAUCACAUUUGGAGAACUUUGCAUACAGCUUCUCCUUCUUCAAAACUUCUAACACUUCUCGCAAGUGUCUGCCAUGCUCCUCCUGGCUUUUCGAGUAAAUCAGAAUGUCGUCUAUGAACACUAUCACGGAUUUAUCAAGGAAAGGAUUACAAACCCUAUUCAUCAAAUCCAUGAACGCUGCUGGAGCAUUGGUUAGUCCAAACGACAUAACCAAGAACUCGUAGUGUCCAUAUCUAGUUCUGAAUGCAGUCUUCUCGAUAUCUUGCUCUCUUACUUUCAGCUGAUGAUAUCCUGACCUAAGAUCGAUCUUCGAGAAAUAGCUCGAACCUUGCAAUUGAUCAAACAGGUCAUCAAUCCUCGGCAACGGAUAUCUAUUCUUUAUUGUUGCCUUGUUCAGCUCUCUGUAAUCGAUGCACAUUCUCAUACUUCCAUCUUUCUUCUUUACAAAUAACACCGGAGCUCCCCAGGGCGAUGAACUAGGUCUAAUGAAACCUUUGUCCAAUAACUCCUGAAGUUGCAUCAUUAGCUCCUUCAUCUCCGUCGGUGCUAAUCGAUAAGGUGCUUUUGCUAUUGGCGUGGUUCCUGGUAACAAGUCUAUUCUGAACUCCACUUGUCUAUCAGGUGGUAAUCCAGGAAGAUCCUCGGGAAAUACUUCCGGAUAAUCACACACCACUGGAAUACUCUGCAUCACCUUCUUUUCUUUCUUAGCAUCAAUCACGAAUGCUAAAUAUGAUGUACAUCCCUUGGUCAAACACUUUCUGGCUUUCAUUAGAGAAAUGAUUCCAGAAUUCACUCUGCGUUUGUCCCCAUACACCAUAAACGAAUCUUUUCCAGGCGGGUUUACUUUAACUAUCUUUUUCUUGCAUAAAAUUUCGGCAUCAUUGGCGCUAAGCCAAUCCAUUCCCAAGACGAUGUCGAAACCAUUAAGUUCGAUAGGCAAUAACGCCUUGUGAAAAUUAUUCCCAUUAAGGUCGAUCAAGACGUUUUUCAUACGAUGGCUAACAGGUACAAACUUGCCACUAGCUACUUCGACUAAUAAAGCAUUAUUUAGUCUAUCAACAGGCAAAGCUAGCUUUCUACCAAACUCAUGCGAAAUAAAGGAGUAGUUGGCUCCAGAAUCAAACAAUAUAUGAGCAGGUAAUUCGUUUACGAGAAAGGUACCUGAAGCGACAUCAGCUUCAUCCUUUGCAGCCUCAAGUCUCAUCUGGAAGGCUCUCGCCUUCGGCUUUGGUGGGAUGUUGGGCUUUGCUGCAUCCUUCUUCUUCGAACAGUCCUUCAAAAUGUGCCCCUCUUCAUUACACCCAAAACACAUUCUUUUGUUGUUUGGACAUUCAUUGGCAAAAUGUCCGACCUUUCCACACUUGUAGCAGGUUACAUCCUCGCUACAUUUCCCAAAGUGCUUCUUCUUACACUUAUCACACCACUUCGCCUCGCCUCCUUUUCCCCCAAACUUUUUCGAAUCAGAUUUCGAAAAUUUUCCUUUCUUACCGGAACCAGAUGUUCCUUCAGACUUUCUUUUCUCACCAACAUCAACCUUGUCGGUGGUCCUCCCCUUGAUCAUGUUCUCAACAAACUUGGCAGCCCAGAUAGCUGCUUCCAGAGUAAGUGCCUGACGUACUGGCACCUCGUACUCCCAUAAGGUUUCUAGAUCCGGUCGGCAACAGACCAUAGAUCCGAACAAAUAAUAUCAUAUAUGGCAACAUAUAACAUUUAGCACAUAAAGCAUUUUAGGAGACUUUCCUAAAAUAUACUAGUGCUCGUGUCUAAAACUCAACGGACACACAUCUCAAAACUUCACUUACCAUUCUAAGUUUAAGUCUAGAAAUCCUACAAAUUCCUAGUUCGCUUAAACUAAUGCUCUGAUACCAACUGUGACAUCCCCAAAAUCUCGGCCAGAAAAGACCAAUUUUCAUUUAUGCUUUUAAAUAUUUUCAGAGUAAAUCCUUUUGAUUUGAAAGAGUUGCGGAAUUUGUUCCCAAAAACAAAACAUGAUAAAACAUUGUUUACCGAAGCAUUUCAUAAAAGAAAUGUAUUUUCAUUAUAAUCAAAACUCGGGGUGUCAUGUUCCGAUACAGACCAAUAAGAAUAAACGAAUACAUUACAAGUCAUUUAUCAAAUAUAAACAAAUGCAAACUUGUAAACAAAACAAAUUGAUGGAUCAUCCAUCUCAUGCCCUUCCGCCACUUCCUGUAAUACAAUUUAAAACUGAGUGGGUCAGGCUUGGGAGCCUGGUGAGCAUAUAGGGUUUUCAACCCACAAUAAAUAUCAUAUUUAAUUUUCACCAACCAACAAUAACCCAAUUACCCAUUCCCGUUAUUCUCACUUUAAUGUCCCUAAAACAACUAACAUAAGGGACCUAGUCUAAGAAUAUUUCAUCGGGGCGACAACACAUGCUUCGGGGGUACCUCAGCAAUAUAAGUCAAAUAAGGCAACCAUGAGGGGGAUGGAGUACAGCGAAUGAACACCCAAGUUCAUUAACACCUACAGGUGGCGAACCUGCUAAUGUUUCCACAAGACUAUCUAGAAAAGUAUGUGGUCGUCAUCUAAACUCCGCUAGAUGACUAGAUCAAACAACAACGAGGCCUCUCAUCUGUUUAUUACACACCAACUAUCUACCCAUGUUCUACCCAACAUAUUAGUAGAUAAAAAUAUACAUUUGUAUACAUAGUUUAAAAACCUGUAUAGCAUGCUUUAAUCAACACAUAUAUCACAUAACAGAUGAGGCACACACACAUAACACGUAUCUCAUAGAGAAUAAAUCAUAUCUAUGAGCUAGAAGAAAGUGAAUACACAUUCACACACAUAACCACAAAAUUAUACACAUAAUACGUAUUCCGUAUAAAAUACUUCAUAAUUAUGUGAUAGAAGAAAAUAACUACACACUCACUUGAUCAGAAGAUGAUCGGACAGCACUACGACUUGCAGAAGUAGUAAUCCACAGCAGAUCUGGAAGAUCUUCACAAGAAUCGAACUUCUCGCGGGCAGAGCUUCGGCUCAGGAACCGCAAUUCUCAAGAUCUUCGGGAUCUCGGGACUUGCCUCGGGGGUCGGGAAUAUUAUCGGGGCUUCGGGGGUUUACGCGCAGACCUUCGGCACAAAAACGAGAGGAAAUUAGCAAAUGAACCCGGAACCCUCGCAUCCUAUUUAUAGGAGGCUGGAAGCCUCAAUUACGCGGGGCGUACUGCUCCAUGUUCGUAAGCACAUGCGUCAUCCGAAGCCACUUGCUACGAUGUCGACACCUUCGGAGUACACGGGGCGUACUCGAGUACGCAGGGCGUACCUCGGAUCAGACUGCUGACUCGUCUUCGGAUAAUGCAUCCGAAUUUCCAUUUAAAUAUAAAUACAAAAUAUUUAAUAAAUUUCGGAAAUUCAUAUCUUCUUCAUACGAACUCCGUUUUCGACGUUCUUUAUAUCCACGGAAAGAUGAGACCACGCUCUACGACUUUCGUUUAGACUCCGUCGGCUAAUUUUGACUUUAUUUUUAUUAAUUAUUUUUUAAUAGGCCGGGACAGAAACUUUCGUUACUAAUUCAUAACUUCUUCGUUUGAUGUCCGUUCUCGCCUAAGUUUUUAUCGCUUC
rnacentral:lncRNA from 1 species